UACGUAGGGGGCAAGCGUUGUCCGGAUUUAUUGGGCGUAAAGAGCGUGUAGGCGGCCAUGUAGGUCCGUUGUGAAAACUCGAGGCUCAACCUCGAGAGGUCGGUGGAAACCGUCUGGCUAGAGUCCGGAAGAGGAGAGUGGAAUUCCCGGUGUAGCGGUGAAAUUCGUAGAUAUUGGGAAGAACACCGGGUGGCGAAGGCGGCGACCUGGUCCGAUACUGACGCUGAGGCGCGAAAGCGUGGGGAGCAAACAGG
rnacentral:rRNA from 1 species